UACGUAGGGUGCAAGCGUUGUUCGGAAUCAUUGGGCGUAAAGCGCGUGUAGGCUGUUAGUUAAGUCAGAUGUGAAAGCCCUCGGCUCAACCGGGGAAGUGCAUUUGAAACUAACUGGCUAGAAGACGGUAGAGGAAGGUGGAAUUCCUAGUGUAGAGGUGAAAUUCGUAGAUAUUAGGAGGAAUACCUGUGGCGAAGGCGGCCUUCUGGACCGUUCUUGACGCUGAGACGCGAAAGCGUGGGUAGCAAACAGG
rnacentral:rRNA from 1 species